rnacentral:pre_miRNA from 1 species
GGCCUUCCAUUGGCUUUGGAAGUAAUAGGUUCUCACUUGUUUGGCAAAAGUUUAGAUGUAUGGAAAUCUUCAUUAGAUAAAUAUGAAAGAGUUCUUCACAAAGAGAUUCAUGAAAUUCUUAAAGUUAGCUAUGAUGAUUUGGAUGAUGAUCAGAAGGGUAUUUUUCUUGACAUCGCUUGUUUCUUCAAUUCUUAUGAAAUGAGCUAUGCCAAAGAAUUGCUAUACCUACAUGGUUUUAGUGCUGAAAAUGGAAUUCA